CUAGUCCCUAAUAUUCUCUCAUCUCUCACGCACGAACAAACACACACACACACAGUGAAUCGUACGUAAUUAAGUCUUCUGUAUAUAUGGAUCUCUCUCAUCAUCAUAUAUAUGAUAUAUCAUCGCUUGUUAUUAUUAUUCUCUCUCUCUAUAUAUAUAUAUAUAUGCAUUGAGAAUUAAUUUCCAUAGGUAUACAAUACAUAGCACCUUCAUAAUUCAUAUAGAUACAUACAGCGAGCGAGCGAGCGAGCUAGGUAGCUACCUUUAUGUCGACUUCAGAGAUAAUAAAGAGGGGAACAAGAAGUCCGUGAAUUUCGCCUAACCAAACGAUACCUAUCACCUUCAUUCAAAACAAAGAAACCUCGCUCGACUUAUAUUAUACAGUCAUUUGAACGCCACAUACCAUUUCACCCUGACAAUAUCUUUCUCCAUUUCGAAAGAAAAAGAAUAGAUAAUAAAUAUUCCCUCCCAUCCAAAAUCAGGUAUAUAUAAUACUAUCACUUUAGCUUAAACGACUGACAUAUUAAAUUUUAAGUUGAUGUGAUUUUAUUUAAUUUUAGUUGAUACAAUAAUUAUAAUUGCAUACUCUAUAUAACAAAAACUGUUAAUCACAAAAUUUAUUUCAUUCUUUAACAUGUCAUUUGAUCUCAAAAGUUAAAUUGUAUAUCUAAUUUUGGGACUGAGGGAGUAUUAUCAUCUUUAAUUUUUGUUCUUUCAUCCGUCCAAAAAAAUUAAGAGUAUUACUUUAAUUUUUUUAAGUUGGUAGAAAUAAUAAAGUUUUGAAUUCUUAUCAAUUUCAAAUUAAUUUUAAAUGAAUCCUUUUAUAUUUCUUUUGUAGUAUUUUGCAAGUUGAGUAAUGAAUGAUAUGAAUUUUAUAAAAUAUAUUUUCAAAACUUAAAAUGAUCACAUCAAUUAAUUUAUUUGAUAUAUAUAUAUAUAUAUAUAUAUAUAUAUAUAGAUGCUUUCUUUUCUUUAGGUGGAGUAUCAAUUAUUAGUCGGAACAAUUAAUAUUACGUACCAAUGCAAUCGUACUAAUAAUACCAUUACCUGUCAGAUUAAAGCAUCAUAUCACCAAGAAUUUGGUUCUACUUUUAUAAAUGAAGUGAGGGAGAUAUCUGGACAUGACACUGAAAGAAAUUCAUUUUUUUUCUAGCUAGCUAGUUAACCAGGGAAAAUCUUAAUUGUCAUUUGUCUUUUCCUGAGCAUAUAUUUAAUCAAGAAUUUCAUCCCUUAAUUGUUUCAUCAUCCUUGGCUUUUCGUAUUUCUUAAUUAAAUUUUUUUGAAGAGUAGUAAUUAAGAUUAAUAGCAUCCCCUCAAAUCAUUCACCCACCUCUCUUAAAUCAUGGGUUGCUAGCUCGUGAAGGUUUAGUAUUUUGUUAUGCUUUGUUUGGAAAUACUACUAGUAAUUGUGAAAACUAGAGCGUUUAAUGUAAGCGAGAGGAAAUGACCUAAGCCUAAGCCCUAAGGCCUAAGGCCUAAGGUAGGUGAAUAGGAAACAAAGAAAUUGUCUUUCGAACCAAAACUAUCUAAAUUAGAAUCAGGUGGGUGCUACUACUACUAUAAGAAUUUAAGAGAGCAUUAAUUAUAGGGUCCUUAACACUAAUAUACAACAAUUAGAAAGUAAUUACAAAAAUAAAAUACACACAACAUAAUUAUAAAAAUAAAACAACACAAUAUAAAAUUGAUAAAAUCAGUCCUAUAUUCAAGUAACUGAACAAAACACGCUCCUACAUUUAAGCAACUGAACAAAACACACAACUUUGAUAUUGGAGAAAUCCAAAUCUUCUGGCGCGACAUACUGAGAUCGGAGAAGACAAAAUUUUUUGUCACGACGGCACACUGAGAUCGACAGCAACUCUGAGAUCGGAGAAGAACAGAUCAACGACAUAUCUACCGGAAAAGAAGAAAUCUCUUGUCGCGACGCAACUCUGAAAUCGAAGAAAAACAUAAAAGAUCGACAACUUCAAGAUCUGAUUGUUGAUCGUACUGCACUGAUUGUUGAUUCGUUACAAUUUUGUAUACCGAGGUAUUUGAGUUUCCAAUUUAUAUGCAUAGUGUUACCCCGUGUUUACUACGUAUUCGUCUAUUGGUUACCUUUCUCAACUUUUUUCGCUCUUUAAAUGGUCACAAAGUCAGAAUAAUGAAUGUUUUGAAUGCAAAAUGCAUUUUAAAAUAUGUUUUAUACUCUAGUUACUAAAUACAUAUAAAUUUGUUACUAUUUAUUAUUGAUUUGGUUACUGUUUAUUAUUAAUUUGGUUGAUGUAUAAUGUUUAUAUGNNNNNNNNNNNNNNNNNNNNNNNNNNNNNNNNNNNNNNNNNNNNNNNNN
rnacentral:lncRNA from 1 species